rnacentral:rRNA from 1 species
UACGGGGGGUGCAAGCGUUGUUCGGAAUUAUUGGGCGUAAAGAGCGUGUAGGCGGCUUGUCAAGUCAGAUGUGAAAGCCCUGGGCUUAACCCAGGAAGUGCAUUUGAAACUGCCAGGCUUGAGUAGGGGAGAGGGAAGUGGAAUUCCUGGUGUAGAGGUGAAAUUCGUAGAUAUCAGGAGGAACACCGGUGGCGAAGGCGACUUCCUGGCCCUAUACUGACGCUGAGACGCGAGAGCGUGGGUAGCAAACAGGAUUAGAUACCCUGGUAGUCCACGCCGUAAACGAUGUUCACUAGGUGUUGGGGGUAUUGACCCUCUCAGUGCCGGAGCUAACGCGUUAAGUGUUCCGCCUGGGGAGUACGGUCGCAAGGCUGAA